rnacentral:rRNA from 1 species
AUUGAACGCUGGCGGCAGGCAUAACACAUGCAAGUCGAACGAGUGGCGGACGGGUGAGUAAUGUCUGGGAAACUGCCUGAUGGAGGGGGAUAACUACUGGAAACGGUAGCUAAUACCGCAUACCAUCGGAUGUGCCCCGAUGGGAUUGGCUAUUAGGUGGGGUAACGGCUCACCUAGGCGACGAUCCCUAGCUGGUCUGAGAGGAUGACCAGCCACACAGUAACUGAGCCACGGUCCAGACUCCUACGUGAGGCAGCAGUGGUGAAUAGUUCACAAUGGGCGCAAGCCUGAUGCAGCCAUGCCGCGUGUAUGAAGAAGGCCUUCGGGUUGUAAAGUACUUUCAGCGGGGAGGCGUUACCCGCAGAAGAAGCACCGGCUAACUCCGUGCCAGCAGCCGCGGUAAUUC